UGACCCCAGGUCAGGCGAGAUUACCCACUAAGUUUAAGCAUAUCAAUAAGCGAAGGAAAAUAAACUUACGAGGAUUCCCCUAGUAACGGCGAGUGAAUCAGCAAGUGCCCAGCUUGAAAAUCAAGCAACCCCGUUGUUCGAAUUGUAGUCUAGAGAAGCAUCCUCAACGGCGGACCAGGCCCAAGUUCCCUGGAAAGGGAUGCCAGAGAGGGUGAGAGCCCUGUCAUGCUCGGACCCUAUUGCACCAUGAGGCGUUAUCUACGAGUCGGGUUGUUUGGGAAUGUAGCCCUAAUCGGGCGGUAAAUUUUGUCCAAGGAUAAAUACAGGUGAGAGACUGAUAGCAAACAAGUACUGCGAAGGAAAGAUGAAAAGGACUUUGAAAAGAGAGUCAAAGAAUGCUUGAAAUUGUCAGGAGGAAAAUGGAUGAGGGCUGGCAAUGCACCCCGGUCGGAUGUGGAAUGACGACUAUUCGGUCUGCCGAUUGACUCGGGGCGUAGACCGAUGUGGAUUGGGAUGGAGGCCAAAGCCCAGGCAGUUGAAAAGCCUGCAAAGAUGCCUUCGCCUCGAUCGUGGCUAGCAGCGCGUGCCCUCAGGCGUGCUUCGGCAUCUGGGCACUCCCAGCACUUGCCUGCAAGCUCUCCAUUCGGCCAGUCUUGAAACAUGGACCAAGAGGUUUGACAUGUGUGCAAGUCAACGGGUGAGUAAACUUGUAAGGCGCAAGAAAGCUAAUUGACGGGAUCCCUGCAUGGGUUCCACCGCCGACCAACCUUGAUCUUCUAAGAAGGGUUCGAGUGUGAACAUGCAUGUCGGGACCCGAAAGAUGGUGUACUAUGCCUGAGUGGGGCGAAGCCAGAGGAAACUUUGGUGGAGGCCCAUAGCGAUAUUGAUGUGCAAAUCGUUCGUCUGACUUGGGUGUAAGGGAGAAACACUAAUCGAACCGUCUAGUAGUUGGUUCCCUCCGAAGUUUCCCUCAAGAUAGUUGGAGCCCGGACAUGAGUUGUAUCAAGUAAAGCCAAUGAUUAGAGGCAUCACUGGUGUAAUGCCCUCAACCUAUUCUCAAACUUUAAAUAGGUAGGACGGCGUAGCUACUCCGUUGAGCCGCGCCACAGAAUUGAGAGCUCCAAGUGGGCCAUUUUUGGUAAACAGAACUGGAGAUGCGGGCUGAAUCGAAAGCCGGAUUACGGUGCCCAACACCUAACCUAGAACCCACAAAGGGUGUUGGUCGAUUAAGACAGCAGGACAAUGGUCAUGGAAGUCGAAAUCUACUAAGGAGUGUGUAACAGCUCACCUGCCGAAUUAACUAGCCUCGAAAAUGGAUGGAACUUAAGUGUGCGACCUAUACCCAGCCAUUGGGGCAAGUGCUAGGCCUCGAUGAGUAGGAGGGCGCAACGGUCGUUGCGAAACCUUGGGCGCAAGCGGCCGUUGGUGUGGAUCUUGGUGGUAGUAGCAAAUAUUCAAAUGAGAACUUUGAAGGCCGAAAAGGGGAAAGCUUCCAUGUGAACGACACUUGCACAUGGGUUAGUCAAUCCUAAGAGUUGGGGUAAGCUCAAUACAGAGCCCGUUUAGUGCGAGCUUCGAAAGGGAAUCGUGUUAAAAUUCCUGAACUGGGACGUGGCGGCUGACUGCAACGUUAGAGAGUCUGGAGACGUUGGUGGGGGCCAUGGGAAGAGUUAUUUUUUCUGUCUAACAACCUGCUCACCUUGGAAAUGGCUCAGCUAGAGGUAGGGUCUAGUGGCUAGAAGAGCACUGCACGUCGUGUGGUGUCCGGUGUGCCCCCAGUGGCCAUUGAAAAUUUGGAGGACCGAGUGCCUCCCACGCCCAGUCGUACUCAUAAUCGCAUUAGGUCUCCAAGGUGAAUAGCCUCUGGUUGAUGGAACAAUGUAGGCAAGGGAAGUUGACAAAAUGGAUCCGUAACUUCCGGAAAAGGAUUGGCUCUAAGGACUAGGCACGGAGGUCCCAGUCCUGAACCCGUCAGCUGUCAGCGGACUGCUCAUGCUGCUCCUGUGGCGAGAGCGGGUUGCUGCGUGCUAGCCGGGGGAUGGACUGGGAACGGUUCCUCACGGGGCCUUUCCCGGGCAACGAACAGUUGACUCAAAACUAGUACGGACAAGGGGAAUCCCACUAUUUAAUUAAAACAAAGCAUUGCAAUGGUCCUUGCGGAUGCUCACACAAUGUGAUUUCUUCCCAGUGCUCUGAAUGUCAAAGUGAAGAAAUUCAACCAAGCGCGGGUAAACGGCAAAAGUAACUAUGACUCUCUUAAGGUAGCCAAAUGCCUCGUCAUCUAAUUAGUGACGCACAUGAAUGGAUUAACAAGAUUCCCACUGUCCCUGUCAACUAUCUAGCGAAACCACAGCCAAGGAAACGGGCUUGGCAGAAUCAGUGGGGAAAGAAGACCCUAUUGAGCUUGACUUUAGUCUGACUUUGUGAAAUGACUUGAGAGGUGUAGGAUAAGUGAGAGCUGGAAACAGUAAUAGUGAAAUACCACUACUUUUAACAUUAUUUUACUUGUUCCGUGAAUCAGAGACGGGGCACUGUCCCUCUUUUUGUACCCAAGGCCGACCUCAGCAAGCCGAUCCGGGCUAAAGAUAUUGUCAGGUGGGGAGUUUGGCACAUCUGUUAAACGAUAACGCAUGUGUCGUAAGAUGAGCUCAACAAGAACAGAAAUCUUGUGUAGAAUAGAAAGGUAAAAGCUUGUUUGAUUUUAAUUUCUAGUACGAAUACGAACCGUGAAAGCAUGGCCUAACGAUCCUUUAGACCUUCGGAAUUUAAAGCUAGAGGUGUCAGAAAAGUUACCACAGGGAUAACUAGCUUCUGGCAACCUAGCAUUCAUAGCGACGUUGCUUUUUGAUCCUUCGAUGUCGGCUCUUCCUAUCAUUGUGAAGCAAAAUUCACCAAGUGUUUGAUUGUUCACCCACCAAUAGGGAACGUGAGGUGGGUUUAGACUGUUAUGAGACAAGUUAGUUUUACCCUACUGAUGACAAUACCGUAACAGUAAUUCAACCUAGUAUGAGAGGAACCGUUGAUUCGCACAAUUGGUCAUCACGCUUGGUUAAAAAGCCAGUGGUGCGAAGCUACCAUGCACUGGAUUAUGACUGAACACCUCUAAGUCAGGAUCCGGGCUAGAAGCGAUGCAUGCACCAGUCGCCUGCUUGCCGACCCGCAGUAGGGGUCGUCCGGCCUCCAAAGGCAAGUGUCCUUGGUGAAGCCCGCGUGGCGGAUGAGCCGUGCGGGCCACCUUGAAGUACAAUUCCUAUCUCAAGCGGUGGGUAGAAUCCCUUGCAGACGACUUAAAUACAUGACGGGAUAUUGUUAGUGGCAAAGUGGCCUUGCUGCCACGAUCCACUAAGAUUCAGCCCUGCGUCACUCCGAUUCGU